GACGAACGCUGGCGGCGUGCUUAACACAUGCAAGUCGAACGGAAAGGCCCCUUUGGGGGUACUCGAGUGGCGAACGGGUGAGUAACACGUGAGUAACCUGCCCUUGACUUCGGGAUAACUUCAGGAAACUGGGGCUAAUACCGGAUAGGAAUCCUUGCUGCAUGGUGGGGGUUGGAAAGCUUCGGCGGGUUUGGAUGGACUCGCGGCUUAUCAGCUUGUUGGUGGGGUAGUGGCUUACCAAGGCUUUGACGGGUAGCCGGCCUGAGAGGGCGACCGGCCACAUUGGGACUGAGAUACGGCCCAGACUCCUACGGGAGGCAGAAGUGGGGAAGAUUGCACAAUGGGCGGAAGCCUGAUGCAGCAACGCCGCGUGCGGGAUGACGGCCUUCGGGUUGUAAACCGAUUUCAGCAGGGGCGAAGCUUGUGGUGACGGUACCUGCAGAAGAAGCACCGGCUAACUACGUG
rnacentral:rRNA from 1 species